rnacentral:misc_RNA from 1 species
CAUGGUUCUCAUUGAGCAAAGACGAUGUCACUAUGUAGCCAACCUGCUUUUCUGGGUAUUUUGGUGCAGAUAUUAAGGAAACAGCUUCCAUGUGACCAAAAUCCACAUCAUAACCCAGCAUAUAAAUGUAAAGCAUUUUCCAAACAUAUUUCUUCUUCUCGUAAGGAGUCAAACCCUUUUCAUUUUUGAAGCGAGUGCGGAUGUUGCCGAGCUCCUUAUCAACGCGAAGCCUCUCCUGCUCUUUAUUUGGGCAAUUGCGAACGUCGCUGAUAAACACAGAGAGACCUCUCAUGCUUGAAAGAGCCAUUUUCUCUCAGAUCCAGCAAGAGAGGCACGCCUACCUUCUCUUCCAGCUCCGAAUUACCAAAUCCUUUCACUUUCCGCAACCAGAAACACAGCGAUAAGAUAAUGAGAUCGAAGAGGAAGAUACAGAGAGAUCUUCGAUGGAGAUCUGAGUAUGAGUUGAAGCAGAAUCG